AAAACUUUCAACAACGGAUCUCUUGGUUCUGGCAUCGAUGAAGAACGCAGCGAAAUGCGAUAAGUAAUGUGAAUUGCAGAAAUCAGUGAAUCAUCGAAUCUUUGAACGCACAUUGCGCCCGCCAGUAUUCUGGCGGGCAUGCCUGUCCGAGCGUCAUUUCAACCC
rnacentral:rRNA from 1 species